rnacentral:rRNA from 1 species
GACGAACGCUGGCGGCGUGCUUAACACAUGCAAGUCGAGCGGAGCGGCGAACGGGUGAGUAACGCGUGAGUAACUGCCCCCCUCUCUGGGAUCACAGUUGGAAACGGCUGCUAAUACCGGAUAGUGGGGGCUGACUCGCGUCGUAUCAGCUUGUUGGGGGGGUCGUGGCCUACCAGGGCGAGGACGGGUAGCCGGCCUGGGAGGGGGACAGGCCACAGUGGGCUGAGAUACGGCCCAAACUCAUACGGGAGGCAGCAGGGGGGAAUAUUGCACAAUGGGGGAAACCCUGAUGCAGCAACGCGCGUGCGGUAUGACGGCCUUCGGGUUGUAAACCGCUUUCAGCCAUGACGCGGUAGUGGCAGAAGAAGCACCGGCUAACUACGUGCCAGCAGCCGCGGUAAUUC